GGUGCGACUAAAGCCAUGCGAGUCGAAUGUAGCAAUACGUGGCGUACGCUCAGUAACACGUGGACAACCUCACGUGGACAACCUCCCUUGGGUCGGGGAUAAACCCGGGAAACUGGGUAUAAUACCCGAUAGAUGUGAGAAGCUGGAAUGCUCCCAUGUCGAAAGCUCCGGCACCCAAGGAUGGGUCUGCGGCCUAUCAGGUAGUAGUGGGUGUAGCGUACCUACUAGCCUACGACGGGUACGGGUUGUGAGAGCAAGAGCCCGGAGAUGGAUUCUGAGACACGAAUCCAGGCCCUACGGGGUGCAGCAGGCGAAAACUUUACAAUGCCGGCAACGGCGAUAAGGGAACCUCGAGUGCCAAGUUACAAAUCUGGCUGUCGCGAUGCCUAAAAAGCAUUGCAUAGCAAAGGACCGGGCAAGACCGGUGCCAGCCGCCGCGCCUAACACCGGCCGCUCGAGUGGUAACCGUUAUCAUGGGGUCUAAGGGUCUGUAACCGGCCUGAUAAAUCUCUGGGAAAAUCCAGCAGCUCCAACUGCUGGGCCCUUCUAGAAGGUAACGGUCUGCCAGCCAGGAAAGGUUGAAAAGG
rnacentral:rRNA from 1 species